rnacentral:rRNA from 1 species
AGCAGCCGCGGUAAUUCCAGCUCCAAUAGCGUAUAUUAAAGUUGUUGCAGUUAAAAGCUCGUAGUUGAAUUUCGGGAUUGACACAUCGGUCGUGCCUUAAGGGGUAUGAACUGGUGUAGUCAAUUUCUCACCUUCUGGAGAACCGCAAUGCCCUUAAUUGGGUGUCGCGGGGAACCAGGACCUUUACUUUGAAAAAAUUUAGAGUGUUUAAAGCAGGCAUUUUGCUUGAAUACAUUAGCAUGGAAUAAUAAAAUAGGACGGCAUGAUUCUAUUUUGUUGGUUUCUAGGAUCACCGUAAUGAUUAAUAGGGAUAGUUGGGGGCAUUAGUAUUCAAUUGUCAGAGGUGAAAUUCUUGGAUUUAUUGAAGACUAACUACUGCGAAAGCAUUUGCCAAGGAUGUUUUUCAUUAAUCAAGAAACGAAAGUUAGGGGAUCGAAGACGAUCAGAUACCGUCGUAGUCUUAACCAUAAACUAUGCCGACUAGGGAAUCAGACGAUGUUAAUUUUUUUCAAUGACUCGU